rnacentral:rRNA from 1 species
GAUGAACGCUGGCGGCGUGCCUAAUACAUGCAAGUCGAGCGAACGGACGAGAAGCUUGCUUCUCUGAUGUUAGCGGCGGACGGGUGAGUAACACGUGGAUAACCUACCUAUAAGACUGGGAUAACUUCGGGAAACCGGAGCUAAUACCGGAUAAUAUUUUGAACCGCAUGGUUCAAAAGUGAAAGACGGUCUUGCUGUCACUUAUAGAUGGAUCCGCGCUGCAUUAGCUAGUUGGUAAGGUAACGGCUUACCAAGGCAACGAUGCAUAGCCGACCUGAGAGGGUGAUCGGCCACCCUGGAACGGAGACACGGUCCAGACUCCUACGGGAGGCAGCAGUAGGGAAUCUUCCGCAAUGGGCGAAAGCAUGACGGAGCAACGCCGCGUGAGUGAUGAAGGUCUUGGGUUCGUAAAACUCUGUUAUUAGGGAAGAACAGAUGUGUAAGUAAAUGUGCACAUCUUGACGGUACCUAAUCAGAAAGCCACGGCUAACUACGUG